rnacentral:lncRNA from 1 species
UCCUGCUUUUCCGAAAUAUUAUUCCAUUCAUAAUGUAUAUACUGAAUGCAUAUAGACAAACUUAUCAAUAAUGUGUUCAUAUAUAUAUUUGUAAAAUAACAAAAGAAAGGAUUAACAUUCCAUUUGUACUGUAUCAUUUACACACCCUUUGGGAAGAAAACAAAUUAACAUCAUUUGCAAAUAAAAUAAAUUGUUGUCUAUAGUUCUGGGCAAAUAAUAAUUAGCUUGUCAACUUGAAUUCUCCAAAAUCUACAUCUUCACUUGUAAACUGAAGUCUUCAAGACCUAUGACAAGUAUGAAAUGAAUUCACUUCAGAAAAACUAUAAUAAUCAACCAGAAAGUUUGAGUAACUAAUUGCGAGACCUACAUUAUUUCAUAAACUAAUUACAAUAUAACAAUACUUUGGUCAUAUAAGAAACUUGCAUUAUGAAAUAAAACACAAAAUAGCCAUCUCGGCAACUAAAACACUGUAAGAGACUCAAAAAGUGCAUUUGUUUUAUCAAUGACAAGGAGAACUACAUCUUAUUAUAUACAAAUAGGUUCCAUAGGCUUAGAGGGAGACAAACAGAUAAUUAUUUACCAUAUUACACCUCAAGUUGUAAGUGCCACGCAACCUAAGAAACAAAGAUUAAGUUCAACAUUAGCAUUAAUGAGAAUCAUCCAAAGUCCAUAAUAUAGCGUUAAUGAGAAUCAGCCCUCAUUAUUUAAUACAUAUAAAGAUAGGAUGCAAAUUAUAAGAUCGAAUAACAUUAUGUUAUAUAAACUACUAACAAACAAAUUGCACUUUUAAAGUACAUCUUCCUUUAGAGAAUAUCUGGCACAUAAAUGUUUAAGAAAAAAAUCAAAAUCAGUGCCUUAUAACUUUUCCCAUUAUCAUAAUCAGAUUUUGGGUUCUGCUAUAAACAAGAAAUUGUGAGGGGUUUAUGUUCUUAUCAGUUCAAUGUAGAAAAUUUCCGGAUCACGUAACACAGAUCAGGGUAAAUCUACUGAUGCAAAAAUAAAAAAUAAACUAUUGACAAUGAUCCUAUACUUGAACCUAAAACUUGUUGUCCUUGCAAUUAGCCUUUAACUUGUGAGAAAAUAUUUAGCAAUUCCUUAAUGAUCAAUGCACACACACAUAGAUAUUUUUUUUGUAAAAGAAACAUAAUUUUUACAAGAAUUUGUGAAAGAAAUUUCUGGACCUGCUGUCUAACUCUCUCAAGUUUCAGCUCAAGUUGUGCUAACUUCAAAUGGCAUUGUUUUCAACUACUGAACUUACUCCUAGAAAGAGAAGGGAAGAGAAUCAAGAAAAGGAAUUUAUCUUCCAUAUAAUUGAAUUUUAAAAAGCAAAAUUUCUUGUACCUUUUUCCGCAUACGGCUUUCACACAGUGAGCUUUGAUAUUGCUGCUAAACACAAAAGUGAGAGAUAAAGAGGAAAUGGCUUUGGGUAUGCACGCCUUGUCGGGAAUACUCUAUUUGUUGAUAAUCCCAUAUCAGAGGGUAUAAAUUGUUCAUAAAAGUAAAAAGAGUACAUAACCAGAUGAGUGUUUGAGAUAUACUACAUGAAACGUUGCAGUGUUACAACAAAAAUAAAAUCAUAUUUGAGAACCUAAGAAAUGUAUCCCAAAUUGUUAUAAAAUUAUAUCAUGAAGAUACAUGCGAACUUCAGAGUGACGUCUGACACGGAGAUGCAGAGAAUAGAAGACUAAAGUUUCAACUAAAUGGUUAUAACAUGAUAUAGAGUGUAAGGUUGAGUUUCAGUCCAAAAGUAAAUUGUACCUGCAUGAGUAGCAAAAACAAACUGAGAACCAGCAACGAAAUCAAUAAAAGUGGAUAAAAGAGAAUAAGGAAAAAUUAAAAAUUGAUUCAGAUUGUUAGAAGAAAGUCUAUCAUUUCAAGAGUGCAACAUCCCUCACAAAUGAACCUCCACCUUCAUCAAUAGAUAACCUUAACAACCGUUGCACCAAGAUCAAAUAUCUUCAUAAAAUCUUAUAGAACUACAAGUACAACACUGAUUCACUUAUUCAAGCAACCUCCUUGUGGAGAAACCAGAAACACAUCUCCUUCAAGGUGUUCAACUUUAAUACCACGUUUCCCUAACAUUUCAAUAUUUUCUUUAAAACAUGUCUUAGAACCAUACAACAACAUAUUUAAAAUUACCAAUUUCAAUCUAUCAUUUUCACAAAGGCUUUGCGCGGAUGAAUCUUUACUUUUUUCUGUAACUUCAAUCCAUCUACUAGAGCACUAGCAGCAAACAGUUUUUUCACCAGUUGAAAUAGCCAUUGUCUAAUAAAUUCACAAGUUUAAUUUCUUUUAGCAAACAUAACUAUCACUCGUAUUUAAAAGAAGCUACAUGAACCUGAUAAUCACCGUAGACUAGCAAGCUCAGUUUAGCACCUCACCUAAUGUCAAUUGGUAACAAAGUACAAUAAUCAUGUUAAUUAAAGCUUCCUUUUAGUACGUAAAGGAGUGUUUAGUAGCAAUAUUUGACAUGGGUAUAAUAAUAUUAAGAAGCUCACUAUAAAAUAAACACCCAAUUUUAGCAAAAAUGUGGAUAACAUGUAUCCAUCAACAAAAUGAAGAGCAACAAUGAAAAUACAUACCAAAAAUCACUCAUUGCCCCCAUAAAUGAAAUGAAUCAAAACCCACAAGCAUUAACAACAAAAUCCAGCAAGUCUAAAAUAGUGAGUGGAAGAAAGGAACUCUAACCGAUGAUUGGAACACUUCAUCUCUUAAGCAAGUCGUAAAGAUAAUCAAAUCUUGCAUUCAAGAAACAAAAUUGUCAGCACACACAUAUACAAGCAUAGCUGAAGCAGAUAAAGAGAAUAGAAUUAUGGGAAUCNAAACUUACGAAUUUCAAGCUAAUACUCCUGGAAGCACCUCGGACCACAAUGAAACAACUCCUUCCCAUCUCACUGCGGAAGCUGAAAUGAAUAACACGUGAGCUCUUCUUCACAAAACGGCUCAGAGAUAUGGCCUCGCCAUAAAAAUAACUUGUUGAAUCACAAUAUGCCAACUCAAUCGCACAGAUCCGACUUCAGUUGGUGAUGGAAAAAAUUAUCCAAAAUAACUUAGCAAAAUUGAAUAAUCUGUAGAAUAGUCGUGAACAGAUUGAUGAUGGAAAUCGUCAUUUUGAACAAUAAAAUCAAGAACAGAUUUAGAUGAAAUACUAGAACUGAUUGUCAAAGUGAUGAGGGUUUGGGGAUUUUGAGAGAAACGUUGAGAGACGGGGAGUAAACCCUAGUUCCUAAAUGACGACUUGGGGAAUGUUUUUAAGUGUUUCUAUUUCUUUAUUUCUUUUUCUAGGUUUCUAUCUCUUUAUAAUUAUAAAAAUAUUAAAAUUUUAGAAGAAAAUUUUGGGCGGCACCUCAAGUCUCGCACUCCCGCUCUGUUAUGCAUAUUAGGGACGAGAGUUUUAUAAUAAUAGGGAUGAGAUUCAGUCCCGUCAUUAUUUAAUUUAGAAUUAGGUACCAAAAAUAAAACUAGUCAUUAUAAGUAUACUUUUAGCGACUAGAUUUCAAUCCCGCCGCUAAAUAUUGGUCACUAAUGAGCCUUUUUCUUGUAGUAGUGUGUUUUAAUAACUACAAGUAUUUAGAUAAAACUCUAUGGAGUGCAGGAAUCAGGAUGACAAACCGAAAUAAGUACAGGGUCUACUAGGCUAUUCUGCCCCAAAAGAAAUGUGAAAUAAUGUAUACCUUAACCGUGCUUAGAAGACUCGUUUGGUUUAAGUUAUUCAGCUUUCAAAGCAAACUUUUAUUUUUGAAAAAACUGGACCCAAAUUGCAUGUGUUGCUUAUCUUUACCAAAAAAAGAAUUCAGCUGUUAAGUUUGCCUAAGCGAUUCGAUCGAAAACCUUUUCCAAAUCUUUUUCGUUUAACUUGAUUUGGUUCUGCAAAUGCCUUUAACUGAAAAAGUUGUUAGACAAACAAGUGGACUAAAGAGACCUUUAUUGAUAAAAAGUUGAUAUAUACCCAAAUUUGGAGAUUAUUAACCUUAUAAAAUGAAAGAUUAUCUUAACCAUGUUUACCUAUACCCUACGAGAUUUUGAUUAUCGUAAGAUCGUUGAUUCUAAACAACCAGAGCAAAGAACAAAGCACAUAAUAUCAGUGUUAGUUUUGCAAUUCAAUAUAUACAGAAGUGGGCUAAGAAUAACGGUAAUAUAAAAUAGAGUGGAUAUCUAGACUCUAUGAUAGGAUGACAAGUAUUCAGGCCCAUUUCAAAAUAAUAAACGUCAGAGUUUAGCAACAGUGACGCUAUAAGGAGAGUAGGCAGCUUAGCUCAGUGAUCUUGGGUCAGAGUUCACAAUGAACUUCGCUGGCCCAGUGUAUUCAUGCAAAAGAAGAAGAAAGACUUAAUUAGUACUUGCAUUUAAGAAGUAAAAGCAGAAACAUAAAAAAGUACACAAUUAUAACCUAAAGUAAACAAAGCAAGUUAAGUUUGUUUGUGAUAACCCUCUAGAUGUUAAUCAAAGCCAAUAACUAUUCGCUUUCAAAUAACAAACAUGUCUUUUACACUUAGUAAGUCUAAAUUAUCAGGAACUAGAACUACGGGAAACUAAGCUAGCUUCAGGAGAAUAGUUCAUGAUUAAACUUAAUUGGAUAUCAAACAGCCUAGGCUAAGUAUUCUUAGACUUAAAACUAACUUCACAAAGGUCAUAUUAACAGAGAACAACAAGAGCUAUCAAACAAGGUAAGAUGAUCAGCAAAAACGCAUAAGCAUGGCAACUAUAACAAGGCAGUAUAUGGUAAGAAAGAAUGGCAUUUUGCAGUUAAAGCUAACAAACAAUCUAGAUCAAUAGUGUUUUAACUAACACGCAAGGCAGUGUAAAAUUCACCAGGUUAUCAUGACCUUAUACUAGUAAAUCUUAUAAACAUAGUAUCCACAACAAUAUAACAGUCUCAUAGUGACAAGAAGUACCAUCUUACAGCUAAUAUUAACAAGUAAGCAAAUGACUUCAAAUUAAAAGAGGUCUACCCAAACACAGCAAGAUCAAUAUUAAAGCUAUGAAAUAUAAUCAUGCUAAGUAAACCAAUCUCACAACAUGCCUCAUACUCAUAUUCAUGCUAACAAGUUAAGAAAAGCAUGACUGUCAAUAUAAGACUCAACACACAUUAUACUAAUCAAGCAUAAUAACUAUACAUAAGAAGCUAUAAACAAAAUUCAAUCAUUGAAACGAAUUGAAUGAAGGUGCACUGACCUUCCUUAGGGUAGAAAACUAGGUUCUUCACUU